AGCAGCCCUCCCUGGCCCUAGGGGGGCACAGGGGCAGGACCUGCGGGCUCCAGGGGCGAUGUGAGGACUUCAGGAGCCUCCCUUGUCCCCCGUUCCACCUCUCCCGUCCCGGUGCCCCGUUCACUCCUAAGGCUUCCUCACCCCAGCCAGGGCACUACCUCUGGAAGCCCUUCCUAAUGAGGCCCCCGGGCUCCGACAAGGAGGGUCUUGACCUCGGUCCCCACACCAGGGUCCAUGCUCGGCCACGUGCUGCCCACCCAGGUCCUCGGUCCUCCAAGCCCCCAGGCUGCCCUCCGCUCAGAAGGACCUUGAGGGAGGAGAAAGCGUUUUCCCAGGACCAGGAGCAUCUUGGGACAGGGGUGGAGGUCCAGGGCCAGCAGACAAGCCUGUGGGACCCUUGGGACACCACGUCUAUGCAGCCCAAUUUACACAGGAGUAAGCUGAGGUCCGUCCCUUAGCCCCCUCCCACUAGGGGGGGUGUCUCCUUCUAGCUCCAGGCGGGUGGCGGACACAAGACCCCAAACCCCGACUUCUCCGGGUGCCCCGGGGAAGUGCCCAGCCCAGGCAGCCCCCUGGGUACCCUGGAGACCCCGCUGGCCAUCAGGCUGGCACGUCUCCCCACCCCACGUAUGAGCCCUGGUCAUGCUGCCAGCACACUGGGCGCCCCUGCCCCGUGGCAGAGCUGCCUCCAGUCCCUUUCUUCUUGCCCCCUUGUCACCUCCCCAGUGUCCACUCCUCCUCUGACCACAUCCCAUGGUCCCCAUGUGUGAAGUCAAUGUGUGUAUGUACCUGCGGGCUCGUCGGGAUGUCGAGAGGAAAGGGCCCCACACGGUAAGGGGUGGACGGAGUCCCUCAGGAUCUUAGGGGCUCUCGUUUUCAUUGGAAACCGUAUGGGAGGGUGGAGCCGUGGCCCCGGAGCCGGGACCCUCCCUUCUCCUCUGGACUCUGCUCACCUCACGGCUCCGGGCAAGUCCCCGCCUCUCCUGCUCUCAGUUUCCCAGUUGUACCAAGAGGGGUCGGACGCGGAACUGCGUCAGCGCGCGCUCCGCGUGGACCGGGUGCCGUGCACCCUCCUCGCCGGAUGGGGUGUGGGCCGGGGACAUGUGGUCCUCCUUCCACCCCCGCCGGCCUGGAGGGCGGCCGGGGCCGGGCGGGGGGCACUCACCUGGCAAUCUACCAUCAUCCUCGGCCCUGGCAGCUCAUCGCCGGCCCCAGGGCGGGGCCCGGGGCUCGCAGAGGCCGCUCGCCUCGGCCCGCGCGCGGCCCAGGGGGGCGCCCGGCUGCGGGGCUCAUGGCGCGGCCUCCCGUCCUCGUCGGGCCCGGGACUCCGCGACCACCGCCGCCCGCGUCGCCGCCGCCGCCGCCGCCGACCCCGCCGCUCCCAUUGUCUGCACCGCCCUGCGCCGCCGGCCGCUCGGGCCCCGCUGCUCGGUUCCGCCCGGGCUCCCGGGCUCCGGCCGGGUGGGCGGGGACAUCCGCGGCCCCGCCCCGCCGCGCCCCGCCCGCCCGCCGCAGGUGUGAGGGGCGGGCCGCGCGCGCGCGCGCUCGGGGGCGCGCGCGGGGGCGCGCUCGGCCUCCCUGCCGCCGGCGAGGGUGGGGGGACCCUGCCGAGGCUCCCGGGCCUCGUCCACUGUCGCACGCGCACGGGGCCCGUGCGGGCCCGCGGACAGCGCGUGCACGGGCGCCGCGCCUCGCCGCAGCACAGCGAGGGCUCAGCGCGCGGCGGGUCCCACGCGUCGCUCACGCCCGCUGGGACCUCGUGCCACCCCGAACCCAAGCGGGCGGGGGCCGUCGGGCACUGGGCCGGGUUGGCGCGGAGACCUGGAGACUAGGGAAUCUCUGAAUACACAGCACUGUCCUUCUGUGCUGGUCCCCACAUGUAGCCUGCAGUGGCCAGCUGGGUGCAUGGCUGGGCCAGGGGACCUGGAGGCGGCGGUCGACACGGAGCACGGGCAAGAAGGUCAGUGCGCCCCUUCCCCUUCCUCCUCUACGCUUCUUCCCCUAAUCUCUCUGGCGGGACCCCGGGACACGCGAUGCAGCAUAGACCUGGCUGCAGCCCUGGUUGGGGUCAGGGGUGUGGGAGGGGGCCCUCCUCGGGGGUGCCGGAGGGAUGGUCCGAGUGUUGCAAAGGACUUCCCUGGGCAAUCGGCGAUUUCCUCCUCCUUUUUUAAACAACCAAAAAAAGUGUAUUUAUUUUGAGAGAGAGAGAGAGAGAGUGCAGGAGGAGGGGCAGAGAGAGGAGAGAAACAGAAUCCCAAGCAGGCUCUGCCCUGUUAGCGCCACCCCGUGGUGGCAGGGUUGGAACACACCAACGGUGAGAUGGUGACCCCCGCAGAAAUCAAGAACGGAUGCCUGACUGACUGAGCCUGAUUUAACCCAGGCGCCGCAUCACCCCUUUUUAUACAUGAGCAGUGCCUCCAAGGGAUCAAGGUCACUUGGCUCUGGGUGACCAAGUCCAGCCGUGAGCACGAACGGGGGGUUCAGAGUCAUUUGUCUGCACCCUCACUGAGCCCUGCACUAACCAUCACAGGCCUUGUCCUGGGUUAGGGCUCCCCCCUGUGCCUCCAGGUCACUCUUCUGGGGUCGGGGCCACAGACCCCAUUUUCAAUGAGGCUCUGAGAAGCCACCACAGGAGCUUGUUGGUCACAGGGCUUUGUGUGACAUAGCCCCACUGUGGGUUUGAACUCGAGUCAAUCUGACCCAAAGGUUGUGGCCUCUGAUCCCAGCCUUGGAUGUGAGGAUGUCCUGGGUGGGAGCCAUGGAGAAGGGCACUGGUGGCAAGGGGCUCUGAGGGGCGGGCUUCCUGGGGGAGGAAGGCUCUAGGGAGGCUGGAGUAAGGUGACGGGUGCACACUGGGGAGGGCGUCUGGACCAGUUCAUGCAAUGCUCUGGAUAUCAGGUAAGGAGUCGGGGGUCAUCGCAGGUUGGGGAGGGAAGGGGACACAAUUCAGGCAACCUUUUUGUUUUUUUUUAAGUUUAUUUAUUUUGAGAGAGCGAGAGAGCGUGUGUGAUCAGGGAAGGGCAGAGAGAGCAGGAGAGAGAAUCCCAAGCAGUCUCCACGCUGACAGCUUGGGGCUUGAACUCACGAACUGUGAGAUCAUGCUCUGAGCCAGUAUCGGGAGUUGGAUGCUUAACGUACUGAGCUACCCAGGCGCCCCCGGGUAAGAGCCACAGCAUCCUUGAUUUGGAGGGAGUUUGGUGGGCGUGUUAUUUGGCCCCACUCAAGCAUGGAUUCCCAAAACCAACCAGGGAGGAGGAGGCUGCCUCAGUUUCCUCCUGUGUAAUAGGGGCUCUGGGGGUCAUCUGCUGUCUCCUUCCAGGCUGGGGGCACGCUGGUUGGAGGGCCCAGACCUAGCCACGUCUCAGAAGCCACAUCUCACCAACUGCCCAAGAGGAGUGGGUGUCCCAGCCAUAAUCUCAUUUGGCCCUCACCCCAGGGCCUCAGAUGACCUGUCCGACAUCCCACAGGUGCUGUCUCCCCUCCCACAGUCAUUCAACAUUUAUAGGACGCCCCCUGGGUUCCAGCUACCGGGGGACUCUGGGCCGCCCCAUUCUAUCCCCCCUUAGAGUUUACCAGCUGGGGCGAGGGGUGCACAUAGGCAGACGUCGUAAGUGACACAGGGUUGCGGAGGGUUCGUGGAAACACUGAAAGGCACCCACUCUGGAGGGGGGCACAAAUCAAGGCAGACUUCCCGGAGGUGAUGUCAGGCACGAGUCCCCAGAAAUCAGCCGGGUGAUGGGACUGGCAGACCCGAGCGGUGGGUAGUGUGAGCAGAGGUGUGGGGGCCAGGCCCGAUGGCCGAGUGAUAGCGCGGGGAGGAAGCUGCUGGCCGUGAAGGGACAGGAAGCCUAAGUUUCAGGGGCCUCCAUGGGAGACAUUUUGUAUUCGGGCUAUUGUCUGUUUCUUCAAGAAGUACCUUUGCAAUUUGGAAAACUUCGAAGCCCCCCAGACUGAUGGGCCCUGACAACAUUGGUGCCUGGGGCUCAGACCCGAUCCUGCCAGUCAGGGGCUGAGGACCGCUGGGACUGUCUCUGAGCCCUCUCACCUCUGUCUGCCAGGUCGGGCCCCGUCCCCGUCCCCGCUGCACCCCCGCCAGGCCCCUCACUUCUCCCCACCCGUGGAGCAGCUGUGGCUCUAAGCCCUCAGCCCUUCUUUGGCAAGUAGCUUGGACCCUGGUUGGGGUCUAAGAGUUGGGUCCCGUCACUCCCUUGUGUCUGAGAGCUGGGUCCUGCGAUGGCGGUGUCAGCCGUACUCCUUGGGGGCUCGGGCCGCGGCUGGGAAGGUCCGUUAGCUGGGGCCAGGAGGGGCCGGGCUGGGAGCGAGGCAGGGGCUCCCCACCGGAACACGUGGACUGUGGGCCCACCCUCGCCCUUCUGCCCUGCAGGCACCUCAGCGCCUUUCCCUGACCUGCCCUCCCCUCUGCUCAUUUUCUAGUAAUCUGUCCUUGCCCGCUGGACAGACUGCAGGCCACAGGAGUGCGCCUUGGGCUGACCCCCAGCUUUGGAGGGGGGCCAUGUGGCUGGGUGCCUGUUCCUCCCUAUGUGGCCAGAACGUACCCCUCUGUGCCCUGCUUGGCAAAGGUGAUGCUGCCCCCAGAGGGGACACUGGGCCACCAAACCCUGAGCCCUCCCUCCCCCCCCCCAUCUCCG
rnacentral:lncRNA from 1 species